rnacentral:rRNA from 1 species
UCCUACGGGAGGCAGCAGUAGGGAAUUUUCGUCAAUGGGCGCAAGCCUGAACGAGCGAUGCCGCGUGAGUGAAGAAGGCCUUCGGGUCGUAAAGCUCUGUUGCGGGGGAAAAAAGGCAGCAUCAGGAAAUGGGUGCUGACUGAUGGUGCCCCGCCAGAAAGUCACGACUAACUACGUGCCAGCAGCCGCGGUAAUACGUAGGUGGCGAGCGUUAUCCGGAAUGAUUGGGCGUAAAGGGUGCGCAGGCG